rnacentral:tRNA from 4 species
GCGGGAAUAGCUCAGUUGGUAGAGCAUCGGCUUCCCAAGCCGAGGGUCGCGGGUUCGAGUCCCGUUUCCCGCU